AUUGAACGCUGGCGGCAGGCCUAACCCAUGCAAGUCGAGCGAGCGGCGGACGGGUGAGUAAUGUCUGGGAAACUGCCUGAUGGAGGGGGAUAACUACUGGAAACGGUAGCUAAUACCGCAUACCAUCAGAUGUGCCCAGAUGGGAUUAGCUAGUAGGUGGGGUAAUGGCUCACCUAGGCGACGAUCCCUAGCUGGUCUGAGAGGAUGACCAGUCAUGCGGGAACUGAGCCACGUUACGGCCUCCUACGGGAGGCAUCAGUCUGGAAUGUUGGACAAUGAGCCCAAGACGUACGCAGCCAUGCCGCGUGUAUGAAGAAUGCAUUAGGGUUGUAAAGUACUUUCAGCGGGUAUGCGUUACCCGCAGAGUAAGCACCGGCUAACUCCGAGCCAGCAGCCGCGGUAAUAC
rnacentral:rRNA from 1 species